rnacentral:rRNA from 1 species
UACGGGGGGGGCAAGCGUUGUUCGGAAUUACUGGGCGUAAAGGGCUCGUAGGCGGCCAACUAAGUCAGACGUUAAAUCCCUCAGCUUAACUGGGGAACUGCGUCUGAUACUGGAUGGCUUGGAUUCGGGAGAGGAAUGCGGAAUUCCAGGUGUAGCGGUGAAAUGCGUAGAUAUCUGGAGGAACACCGGUGGCGAAGGCGGCAUCCUGGACCAACACUGACGCUGAGGAGCGAAAGCCAGGGGAGCGAACGGG